rnacentral:lncRNA from 1 species
CCAAGGUAGGCCUUGGCCUCAGUGGCUCUUGUCAUGGCUUUUCUGCAUCCUCUCUGUAUAGCUGAUUGGCUCUUUGUGCUGCAGAUCAUUCUCUGAGGCCCCCAGAUUCCUUGCCUCUACUUUUCUCUGCGAGUUUUACAUCCUUAGGCUCUCCCUGGAGUCAGGCUUUCCUACAUGGGCAUCCCAGAGGCAGGAAAGGGCCACCUGAGCCUGUUUCCCUCUGCUUCUCCCUGCAGUGCCCAUCAUAGACUGGACUCAGUCUGAGAUCCUUAUCCUGGAUUUCCACAAGAGGGAAGCUGGCUGGCCCAGGGGUAGGGGGUGCCCAGAGCCCCCACAGCAGAGGCCCUUGGUGAGGAACUAUUUUCUAAGAAGAAAGGGUAACCUGCUCAGAGAAGGUGCAGAGGUGAUGACAGCAAACCCUCAGGCUCCAUAAGAAGUCAUUUGUAGGAGCAACAGAGGAGAAUGAUGCCCCUGCCCCGGCCAGGCUGAGUCUAAAGUACCUGGAGUACACCCCUGGCCUACUCCUGCUCCCUGAACAGCCUCAACUCUUCUACAGCCUGUGCUUUUAUGAUGAGCAAAUAAAAGCAAUGAUUUUUAAAAUAUUGCAUCUGCAUGUCCCAAGGUAUUCCUCAUUACUGAAAAAUGCAAAUAUACUUUUUGCUCGAAACCCCUGCUGAUGGAAACAGAAUCCACAUCGCUACUCAAAUUAUUAUGAGCUACCUACAGCACUUGGCUAAACUAGGUACAUAGAAACUAUUUCAUAAAACAUUCUCUCUUUAUAAGGAAAGUGUGACAAGACUAUGAUGUGGUUUCUUAACUUCAGAAUUGUUUCUUCUUCAUCCAAAUGAGAGAUUGUUAGCGUGAAGAGGUAACAAGAAAUAGUGAGGACUUG